rnacentral:rRNA from 1 species
AGUGAACGCUAGCGGCGUGCCUAACACAUGCAAGUUGUGCGGGAUUCUGCGGAGUAUCGCAGAGUUUAGCGGCAAACGGGUGAGUAACACGUAGGAAACCUCCCUCAGAAUGGGGAAUAUUUCCGAGAAAUCGGAGUCAAUACCGCAUAAGACCACAGUUUGGCAUCAAAUAGUGGUUAAAGCAGCAAUGCGUUUUGAGAUGGUCCUGCGUCCUAUCAGCUAGUUGGCAGGGUAACGGCCCGCCAAGGCUAUGACGGGUAUCCGUCCUUAAAGGGUGAACGGACACACUGGAACUGAGACACGGUCCAGACUCCUAUGGGAGGCAGCAGUGGGGAAUUUUGGACAAUGGGGGAAACCCUGAUCCAGCGACGCCGCGUGGAGGAUGAAGGCCUUCGGGUUGUAAACUCCUUUUAGAGGGGAAGAAANAAAUGACAUUACCCUCAGAAAAAGCCACG